UACGGAGGGAGCUAGCGUUGUUCGGAAUUACUGGGCGUAAAGCGCACGUAGGCGGCUUUGUAAGUUAGAGGUGAAAGCCCGGGGCUCAACUCCGGAACUGCCUUUAAGACUGCAUCGCUUGAAUCCAGGAGAGGUGAGUGGAAUUCCGAGUGUAGAGGUGAAAUUCGUAGAUAUUCGGAAGAACACCAGUGGCGAAGGCGGCUCACUGGACUGGUAUUGACGCUGAGGUGCGAAAGCGUGGGCAGCAAACAGG
rnacentral:rRNA from 1 species